CGAUAGCGUAUAUUUAAGUUGUUGCAGUUAAAACGCUCGUAGUCGGACGUUGGCGGGCGUCGCGAGUCGGCCGUGAGGUUGAUCUUGUGGCGGCCGCCUUUGUGGAUGGGGGCUGGAGGUGCUUCAUUGUCAUCAAAGGUCGCUGCCACCGUUUACUGUGAAAAAAUUAGAGUGUUCAAAGCGGGCGUUUGCCAUGAAUACAUUAGCAUGGAAUAAUAGAAUAGGACCUGGUCCUGUUUUGUUGGUUUGUGAGUAUCAGGUAAUGAUUAAGAGGGACGGUUGGGGGCAUUUGUAUUCCGACGUUAGAGGUGAAAUUCUUGGAUCGUCGGAAGACAAACAGCUGCGAAAGCGUCUGCCAAGGACGUUUUCAUUGA
rnacentral:rRNA from 1 species